GAUGAACGCUAGCGGCAGGCUUAAUACAUGCAAGUCGUGGGGCAGCAGCUUUAUAGCAAUAUAGAGGCUGGCGACCGGCAAACGGGUGCGGAACACGUACUGAACCUUCCUUUAAGUGGGGAAUAGCCCAGAGAAAUUUGGAUUAAUACCCCGUAACAUAUAGAAGUGGCAUCACUUUUAUAUUAAAGCUCCGGCGCUUAAAGAUGGCAGUGCGGCUGAUUAGGUAGUUGGCGGGGUAACGGCCCACCAAGCCUACGAUCAGUAACUGGUGUGAGAGCACGACCAGUCACACGGGCACUGAGACACGGGCCCGACUCCUACGGGAGGCAGCAGUAAGGAAUAUUGGUCAAUGGACGGAAGUCUGAACCAGCCAUGCCGCGUGGAGGAUGAAGGUCCUCUGGAUUGUAAACUUCUUUUAUCUGGGACGAAAAAGGGCUUUUCUAGGUCAACUGACGGUACCAGAUGAAUAAGCACCGGCUAACUCCGUGCCAGCCGCCGCCGUAAGAC
rnacentral:rRNA from 1 species